rfam:Oceanobacillus iheyensis HTE831 DNA, complete genome.
CAACCAAGAUGGUGACAUCUUAGUGAAUCACAAGAAGUCAGCAGAGGUCAUAGUAAUGCUAACGGC